AAAAAAAAUGAUGGGUUUUUGUUUGGGAUUUUUUAUGAUUUUUUUCUGUGAUGGUUCUGGCUUCUGCAACUCCUAAGAAUCAGAAUCUACCCAUCUUGUCAUUCGUUGAAGGGUAUUCUCAUUUGUUUGGGGAUAAUAAUCUCAUGAUAUUAAAAGAUGGAAAAACAAUUCAUAUCUCACUAAAUGAAAGAUCAGGUCUCUUCCGUUUCUUUGUUUCUUACACAGUUCUGCUCUAUUCCUUUG